AACGCGAAGAACCUUACCCGGGCUUGAACUGCCAGCGAACGAUACAGAGAUGUUGAGGCCCUUCGGGGCGCUGGUGGAGGUGCUGCAUGGUUGUCGUCAGCUCGUGCCGUGAGGUGUCGGCUUAAGUGCCAUAACGAGCGCAACCCCUUUCUUCAGUUGCCAUCAGGUUGAGCUGGGCACUCUGGAGACACUGCCGCCGUAAGGUGUGAGGAAGGUGGGGAUGACGUCAAAUCAGCACGGCCCUUACGUCCGGGGCUACACACGUGUUACAAUGGGUGAUACAGAGAGUCAGUGCAUGGCAAUAUGCAUUCAAUCAAGAAAGUCAUCCUCAGUUCGGAUUGGGGUCUGCAACCCGACCCCAUGAAGCUGGAUUCGCUAGUAAUCGUGCAUCAGCCAUGGCGCGGUGAAUACGUUCCCGGGUCUUGUACACACCGA
rnacentral:rRNA from 1 species